AUUGAACGCUGGCGGCAGGCCUAACACAUGCAAGUCGAACGGUAACAGGAAGCAGCUUGCUGCUUUGCUGACGAGUGGCGGACGGGUGAGUAAUGUCUGGGAAACUGCCUGAUGGAGGGGGAUAACUACUGGAAACGGUAGCUAAUACCGCAUAACGUCGCAAGACCAAAGAGGGGGACCUUCGGGCCUCUUGCCAUCGGAUGUGCCCAGAUGGGAUUAGCUAGUAGGUGGGGUAACGGCUCACCUAGGCGACGAUCCCUAGCUGGUCUGAGAGGAUGACCAGCCACACUGGAACUGAGACACGGUCCAGACUCCUACGGGAGGCAGCAGUGGGGAAUAUUGAACAAUGGGCGCAAGCCUGAUGCAGCCAUGCCGCGUGUAUGAAGAAGGCCUUCGGGUUGUAAAGUACUUUCAGCGGGGAGGAAGGGAGUAAAGUUAAUACCUUUGCUCAUUGACGUUACCCGCAGAAGAAGCACCGGCUAACUCCGU
rnacentral:rRNA from 1 species